GGGUGAUUAGCUCAGCUGGGAGAGCGCUUGCAUGGCAUGCAAGAGGUCAGCGGUUCGAUCCCGUCAUCACCCACCA
rnacentral:tRNA from 1 species